rnacentral:rRNA from 1 species
GACGAACGCUGGCGGCGUGCUUAACACAUGCAAGUCGAACGGAAAGGCCCUGCUUUUGUGGGGUGCUCGAGUGGCGAACGGGUGAGUAACACGUGAGUAACCUGCCCUUGACUUUGGGAUAACUUCAGGAAACUGGGGCUAAUACCGGAUAGGAGCUCCUGCUGCAUGGUGGGGGUUGGAAAGUUUCGGCGGUUGGGGAUGGACUCGCGGCUUAUCAGCUUGUUGGUGGGGUAGUGGCUUACCAAGGCUUUGACGGGUAGCCGGCCUGAGAGGGUGACCGGCCACAUUGGGACUGAGAGACGGACCAGACUCCAACGGGAGGCAGCAGUGGGGAAUAUUGCACAAUGGGCGGGAGCCUGAUACAGCAACGCCGCGUGCGGGAUGACGGCCUUCGGGUUGUAAACCGCUUUCGCCUGUGACGAAGCGUGAGUGACGGUAAUGGGUAAAGAAGCACCGGCUAACUACGUG